UACGAAGGGGGCUAGCGUUGCUCGGAAUCACUGGGCGUAAAGGGUGCGUAGGCGGGUCUUUAAGUCAGGGUGAAAUCCUGGAGCUCAACUCCAGAACUGCCUUUGAUACUGAGGAUCUUGAGUUCGGGAGAGGUGAGUGGAACUGCGAGUGUAGAGGUGAAAUUCGUAGAUAUUCGCAAGAACACCAGUGGCGAAGGCGGCUCACUGGCCCCGAUACUGACGCUGAGGCACGAAAGCGUGGGGAGCAAACAGG
rnacentral:rRNA from 1 species